GAGGCUAGAUUUCUUCUUCGUCCUUCCUCUCAGCUAGCGUAUCUUCUUGGUUUAAUGGAGUCGCUAUGAAUCAAUAACCAUUUCUCUCUCCAGUGUUGAAGCUGGUCAGCUUCUUGCAUGCAAGCCGCAAGAGUCAUUUGUAUCCAUCCCACCUGAUCAAUUUCAUCACAUUGCCUAUGUCUUCUUUCAUAUCUCCUUUAAGUAUUUACGGAGAGAAACUCCUCCUCUAAGCAUUUUAAAGAUGUUGGAUAAGAGAACAGUCGAUAGAUAGAAGAAAAGGUGUGAACAAACUAGGGUUCAAGAACCGUUGGAUUUUUCUUGUAGAAAAAGUAACAUUUGAUGAUUCUUCCCCAAAUCCAUAGGGUUUAUAGAAUCUCGAGCAGAGAAAAUGAGAGGUUGAGAAGAUGAUCAAUAACUUGACGAGAAGAUAUUAGGGUUUAGAAGCGACGGAACUUGGUUUGGGCUUCUCGCAGAAGAAAGAAACUAAUAUCGUUGGUGAGAGUUGUACAAGGAACAGAGUGUGAGGAGGUAGUGUUUGCAGAUGAUCGAUCAAAUGAUUAAGAAGAAAGAGAAGAAGACGAACUUGAAGAUGAUGAAGUGUUUUCAAGAAUGGGUAUCUUGAAGCGCGAAGCCCUCACACUAGUGUUCCAACGGUAAAUGAAUGAAAGUUUAUAUAAUACAAAACUAAAUAAGGACCCACGCUAUGCAACAUGGGAAAAUAUUUGUAGAAAUUUUGGAUUGCUAGUUUACAUCAUAAAUCACAGUCAUAAUAUUUUCUAUUUAAUAAGCUUUUGUAAUUUUAUAUAUUAAACUUAUUGUGUCAUAUUCCAAUAUGUAAUCCUGCAAUCGGAUCAGUAAAUUUGACAAUCCUUCAGUAAUCCAUCUAAUGUUAAAAUUCAUUGGAUCAUAUCCAUCUAUGUUUUUUUGAAAAAAACAAAAACAAAUCAAAUACUGAAUAAGUUUUGAAAACAAUAAUAAAUAUCCAUAUAAAACAGUAUACACAUUCAAGUAUUGCU
rnacentral:sRNA from 1 species